UACGUAGGGUGCAAGCGUUAAUCGGAAUUACUGGGCGUAAAGCGUGCGCAGGCGGUUUGGUAAGACAGAUGUGAAAUCCCCCGGGCUUAACCUGGGAAUUGCAUUUGUGACUGCCCGGCUAGAGUGUGUCAGAGGGGGGGUAGAAUUCCGACGUGUAGCAGUGAAAUGCGUAGAUAUGUGGAGGAAUACCGAUGGCGAAGGCAGCCCCCUGGGAUAACACUGACGCUCAUGCACGAAAGCGUGGGGAGCAACAGG
rnacentral:rRNA from 1 species